rnacentral:rRNA from 1 species
UACAGAGGUCUCGAGCGUUGUUCGGAUUCAUUGGGCGUAAAGGGUGCGUAGGUGGCGCCGUAAGCCGGGUGUGAAAUUUCGGAGCUUAACUCCGAAACUGCAUUCGAUACUGCGGUGCUUGAGGACUGGAGAGGAGACUGGAAUUCAUGGUGUAGCAGUGAAAUGCGUAGAGAUCAUGAGGAAGACCAGUGGCGAAGGCGGGUCUCUGGACAGUUCCUGACACUGAGGCACGAAGGCCAGGGGAGCAAACGGG